UCAGGACGAACGCUGGCGGCGUGCCUAAUACAUGCAAGUCGAGCGGAGAAAUGGGAGCUUGCUCCCAUUUCUCAGCGGCGGACGGGUGAGUAACACGUGGGCAACCUGCCCUACAGACUGGGAUAACUCCGGGAAACCGGAGCUAAUACCGGGUAAUACAUAGCAUCGCAUGAUGCAACGUUGAAAGUUGGCCUUUGGCUAACACUGUAGGAUGGGCCCGCGGCGCAUUAGCUAGUUGGUAAGGUAACGGCUUACCAAGGCCACGAUGCGUAGCCGACCUGAGAGGGUGAUCGGCCACACUGGGACUGAGACACGGCCCAGACUCCUACGGGAGGCAGCAGUAGGGAAUCUUCCGCAAUGGACGAAAGUCUGACGGAGCAACGCCGCGUGAGUGACGAAGGCCUUCGGGUCGUAAAGCUCUGUUGUUAGGGAAGAACAAGUACCGUUCGAAUAGGGCGGUACCUUGACGGUACCUAACCAGAAAGCCACGGCUAACUACGUGCCAGCAGCCGCGGUAAUACGUAGGUGGCAAGCGUUGUCCGGAAUUAUUGGGCGUAAAGCGCGCGCAGGCGGUCUCUUAAGUCUGAUGUGAAAGCCCACGGCUCAACCGUGGAGGGCCAUUGGAAACUGGGGGACUUGAGUGCAGAAGAGGAGAGUGGAAUUCCACGUGUAGCGGUGAAAUGCGUAGAUAUGUGGAGGAACACCAGUGGCGAAGGCGGCUCUCUGGUCUGUAACUGACGCUGAGGCGCGAAAGCGUGGGGAGCGAACAGGAUUAGAUACCCUGGUAGUCCACGCCGUAAACGAUGAGUGCUAGGUGUUGGGGGGUUCCACCCUCAGUGCUGAAGUUAACACAUUAAGCACUCCGCC
rnacentral:rRNA from 1 species